CCUACGGGGGGCAGCAGUGGGGAAUAUUGCACAAUGGGGGAAACCCUGAUGCAGCAACGCCGCGUGAGUGAAGACGUAUUUCGGUAUGUAAAGCUCUAUCAGCAGGGAAGAGAAUGACGGUACCUGACUAAGAAGCCCCGGCUAACUACGUGCCAGCAGCCGCGGUAAGACGUAGGGGGCAAGCGUUAUCCGGAUUUACUGGGUGUAAAGGGAGCGUAGACGGCUGUACAAGUCUGAAGUGAAAGCCCGUGGCUCAACCGCGGAACUGCUUUGGAAACUGUAAAGCUGGAGUACAGUAGAGGUGGGCGGAAUGCGUGGUGUAGCGGUGAAAUCCGUAGAUAGCUGGAGGAACAUCAGUGGCGAAGGCGGCCACCUGGACCGGUAUUGACGCUGAGGCGCGAAAGCGUGGGGAGCAAACAGGAGUAGAUACCCGAGUAGUC
rnacentral:rRNA from 1 species